GGGAAUCAUAAAGAUACCGUGUUAUUGGGAGAAGAAGAGUUUGUUCGGUGGAAGUUUUCUACAACUUGAGGAAUAAUUCGGAGAGUUAAAGGGACGAAGGGAAAAGAGAUCAAGUGGCAGGAUUUAAUUAGCACACGCGCGCUCGCGACACGCCCAUUCGAAUUACAGCGCGAGGUCCAUGCGCGCGACCGCACACCACAGUUGAGUUGAGAGAGAAGAAGAGUAAGGACACGGAAAUCACGGAUGCGCGUGUGUGUGUGAGUGUGUGACGACUGUGUUUAGGGAUGAAGGUAGAGUUCGCUCCGCUUAAUAUCCCAUUUAGGAGACGCUUACAGACCGCCGCCGUGCUGCAGUGGGUCUUCUCCUUCCUUGCGCUCGCUCAGUGCUGUCUGGCAGCCUUCGUGCUGCUCUCUGUCAGUGAUUGGUGGAUUCUGGCCGCUCUCUAUGCUGGUUGGCUAUAUUUAGACAGGGACACACCCACAAGUGGAGGUCGCCGGUCACAAUGGGUCAGGAACUGGACCAUGUGGAAAUACUUCAGGGAUUAUUUCCCCAUCUCGUUGGUGAAGACGGUGGAUUUGGACCCUAAAUAUAAUUAUCUAUUUGGAUUUCACCCUCAUGGCGUUCUGGUGGCCGGUGCUUUUGGGAAUUUCUGUACAGAAGCGUCACAGUUUUCCAAGAUGUUCCCAGGCCUCACCCCGUACCUGCUCAUGCUGCCCUUCUGGUUCCGAGUACCGUUUUUCAGAGACUACAUCAUGUGUGGAGGUUUGGUGUCGAGUGAGAAGACAAGUAUGAGUUAUCUGCUCAGUCGUCCAAGGGGCGGUUCUGUAGCAGUGGUGGCAGUGGGCGGAGCUCCAGAGAGUCUGGAGGCGCGGCCUGGAGCACUGACUCUACAACUACUGCAGAGGAAAGGCUUCAUCAAACUCGCACUCAAACAUGGAGCUGGGUUGGUUCCUGUGUUCUCCUUUGGGGAAAAUGAGCUAUUUGAUCAGAUGGAGAACCCUGUAGGCUCCGCCCUCCGCCGGGUUCAGGACCGCCUCCAGAGGAUCAUGGGUGUGGCUUUGCCUCUGUUUCAUGCCAGAGGAGUGUUUCAGUACAGCUUUGGCCUGUUACCCUAUAGAAAACCUAUACAUACCUUGGAAGGCCGAUACUAGUCGAUCUGAAUCCGUGUCCGACUAAAGAGGACAUCGAGUCUCUUCACCAGCGCUACAUGGAGGGCCUAACUCAACUAUUUGAGGAGAACAAGGAGAAGUAUGGCAUCGAUAAAGACAAACACCUCAAAUUUAUUUGAAACCUAUCUGUCUGUCUAACUCUCUGUCUGUCCGUCUGUCUGUCUAACUCUCUGUCUGUCUGUGUAAUAUUGAUAAAUGUUAUGUGUGUAAUAUGAAACAUUUAAGGAAGUAAGAACUACUUAAAACAAUUCUGGUCCUGAUGAAUAAACAUGUAUAUGAGCUGCUGAUGUCAGGGGUCUAAAUGAUACGGGAGAACUACGGGAGGUCUUAUUUUAGCGGCUGUAGCUGUGGGUGCUUUAAGUGCUAGCGUUAGAAUGGUUAGCAUGUAUGUGGUUGAAUAUAACCAUAUCAGUUUUGGAGUACAUGAACACUUUAACAGGAACUCGAGUCUACAGAGGAAAUGAAAAAAUAUUUGAUUAAAAAUGUAUCUAUACAAUAGUAGAGACUUUUCAAUAUACACUUUUAAAAUGAAACACAUCAUUGUGAAUAUUUUUAAAGACGUUGUUAUUAUUAUUAUUAUUAUUAUUAUUAUUAUUAUUAUUAUUAUUAUUAUUAUUAUUAUUAUUAUUAUUAUAACAGAAGAGAGGUUCUGAGCUGUA